GAUGAACGCUGGCGGCGUGCCUAAUACAUGCAAGUCGAGCGAACAGAUCAGGCGCUUGCUCCUUUGACGUUAGCGGCGGACGGGUGAGUAACACGUGGGUAACCUACCUAUAAGACUGGAAUCACUCCGGGAAACCGGGGCUAAUGCCGGAUAACAUUUAGAACCGCAGGGUUCUAAAGUGAAAGAUGGUUUUGCUAUCACUUAUCGAUGGACCCCGGCCGUAUUAGCUAGUUGGUAAGGUAACGGCUUACCAAGGCAACGAUCCGUAUCCGACCUGUCAGGCGGGUAGGCCACCUUGGAGCUUAGCCGCGGUCAUUGCUCCUACGGUACGCAGCAGUAGGGUAUGUGCCGCAGUGGGCGAAAGCCUGACGGAGCGGCGCCGCGUGAGUGAUGAAGGUCUUCGGAUCGUAAAGCUGUGUUAUGAGUGGAGAACAAAUGUGGAAUUAGCUGUGCACGGCUUGACGGUACCUAAUCAGAAAGCCCCGGCUAACUACGUG
rnacentral:rRNA from 1 species